rnacentral:rRNA from 1 species
UACGGGGGGGGCAAGCGUUGUUCGGAAUUACUGGGCGUAAAGGGCUCGUAGGCGGCCAACUAAGUCAGACGUGAAAUCCCUCGGCUUAACCGGGGAACUGCGUCUGAUACUGGAUGGCUUGAAUCCGGGAGAGGGAUGCGGAAUUCCAGGUGUAGCGGUGAAAUGCGUAGAGUAUCUGGAGGAACACCGGUGGCGAAGGCGGCAUCCUGGGACCGGCAUUGACGCUGAGGAGCGAAAGCCAGGGGAGCAAAGCGGG